CCCAGAUUCAAGCAAUUCUCCUGCCUCAGCCUCCCAAGUAGCUGGAAUUACAGGCACACCCACGCCUUGCUAGUUUUUAAUGUAUUUUUAGCAGAGACGGGGUUUCACCAUGUUGGCCCUGCUGGUCUCAAACUCCUGACCUCAUGAUCCACCCACCUCAGCCUCCCAAAGUGCUGGGAUUACAGGUGUAAGCCACCAUGCCUGGCCAAGAAUUUUUUUAAGAGAAUUUUAGAAAUACAUGGAAAGCUUCACAAAUUUGUGUGUCAUCCUUGGGCAGGACCAUGUUAAGCUUCUCUGUAUUGUUCCAGGCUUGGUAUAUGUACUGCCAAAGUGACAAUUUUGCCCCUGCUGCUGCCGCCUGCACCAUGUGACUCCAGGCAACCUUAUCUAAACUCCGACACCUCAGCUUCCUCAUCUGUAAAAUGGGCAAAUGGGGAUAAUAAUAAUGACUGCUGAGUGUUAAAAGAGAGACUGUGAGAACGGGCUGUUCUAAUGAGACGUGAAAAGCUGCCUUUGGUGGACUGACUUCCCUGUCCCUGCAAGAAUGUCAAAUUUGAGGAUCUAUAAUCCCCUUACUCCCAAAAUAAGAGCUCCACAGAAGAGUCUGCCUUCUAUGAAGACACUUGGAUGCCUAGAACUGCUGCAGCCACCUUGUGACCAUGAGGAGCUGGGGCUGGGUGUGGUGGAGCCCCUGAGUUAACUAGCCCUGCAGCCAGCAGGACUACUUUUCAAAGAGAUCAACUCCUUGCUGUUUACAUUACUUUGGAUUCAUUAUUCUCUUCCUUGCAGCCAAAUGCAUUCUAAAUUAUAUUUAGUUUUCUCGUUUGUCCAGUGAGGAUAAUACCACCAGGAUCUUGUGUGGAUAAAAUGAGAUGAAAGAUUUGCAGAUGCUAAAGCAUCCAUGACAGUACCUUAUCACUGCAGCAGCCUGAAAACUGACAGCUUUAAAGGCAAGUAAGUGCUGUGGGGAGGCCAUCAGUCCCAUUGUAACUCACUGAUAGAUGACUCAACUCAACACCCAAGGGGUUUUCCUACUGGGGAAAGAAGCUCCCACAAUUGUGUGAACUUUCCUGUUUUUUUUUUGUUUGUUUGUUUGUUUGAGACAGAGUCUCACUCUGUUGCCCAGGCUGGAGUGCAGUGGGGCA
rnacentral:lncRNA from 13 species